UGGGGAAUUUUGCACAAUGGGGGAAACCCUGAUGCAGCGACGCCGCGUGAUUUAGAAGGCCUUCGGGUUGUAAAAAUCUUUUCUAUGGGAAGAAAAUGACAGUACCAUAGGAAUAAGGACCGGCUAAUUACGUGCCAGCAGCCGCGGUAAUACGUAAGGUCCGAGCGUUGUCCGGAAUCAUUGGGCGUAAAGGGUACGUAGGCGGGUAAGCAAGUUAGAAGUGAAAUCCUAUAGCUCAACUAUAGUAAGCUUUUAAAACUGCUCAUCUUGAGGUAUGGAAGGGAAAGUGGAAUUCCUAGUGUAGCGGUGAAAUGCGCAGAUAUAGGAGGAAUACCGGUGGCGAAGGCGACUUUCUGGCCAUAACCUGACGCUGAGGUACGAAAGCGUGGGUAGCAAACAGG
rnacentral:rRNA from 1 species